GCUCUCAUCGUCCAAUCGGAUAGGACACUGGCCUCCGAAGCCGGAAAUUUGGGUUCGAGCCCCGAUGAGAGCGCCA
rnacentral:tRNA from 1 species